rnacentral:lncRNA from 1 species
GUGUCAAUCAUCGACAGGGGGCGGGGCCAAGGGCGAGGCCAACUCCUGUCAUUGCUAUUGGGGGGAGGGGGGACCCCAAAAAUCGCCCAAAAUCCACCCAAAAAAUCCCCAAAUUCUCACAAAAUCACACCAAAAUCCACGAAAAUCCACCCCAAAUCCUCCCAAACCCCCCAAAUCCACCCCAAAUACCCCAAAUUCUCCCCAAAACCUCCCCAAAUCACACAAAAAUCCACCCAAAUCUCCCCCACAGCCUUCCCAAAAUCCACCCAAAAUUUCCCCCCAAAUCCUCCCCCAAAAUUCCCCCCAAAUCCUCCCAAACCCCCCAAAUCCACCCCAAAUUCCCCAAAUUCUCCGCAAAACCUCCCCAAACCACCCAAAAAUCCACCCAAAUCUCCCCAAAAGCCUCCCCAAAAUCCACCCAAAAUUUCCCCCCAAAUCCUCCCAACAAAUCCCCAAAUCCCCCCAAAUUCCCACCAAAUCCCCGCAAAAUCCUCCCAAAAUCCCCCGAAAUCCACGCCAAAUCCCCAAAUCCUGCCCAAAACCUCCCAAAAUCCCCUCAAAAUAUCCCCCAAAUCCACCCAAAAUCCCCCAAAUUCUCACAAAACCCCCAAAUCCCCUUAGAACUCCCCAAAUUCACCCCAAAUGCACCCCAAAACCCUCAAAUCCCCAAACCUCCCCAAAACCCCCUCAUGAACCCUCCCAUACCCCCAAAAUCUCCCCAAAUUCUGCUUAAAUCCCCCUGGAGACUCCCCAAAACUCCCCAAAUCCCCCCAAACCUCCCCAAAAUCCCCUCCGAGACCACCUGGAGGCCCCAAACACCCCCCCCAAACACCCCCGGAUCUCCCAAAAUCCCCCCAUAAACCCCCAGGGUCCCCCAAAUUUCCCCAAAUUCUCCAAAAUUCCCCCUAACCCUCCUCCAAAAAAACCCAAAUUCCCCCAAAUUCCCUAACAAACCUCCCCAAAAAUCCACAAAUCUCCCCAAAUCCCCCAAAAUCCCCAAAGAAAUUCCUCAAAAUCCC